UUAGAAGCUGUGAACACUGUGUCCCCUGCCUCCUCCUGAUUGGACUUCAGUUCACCUGGAGGGACGGCGGCCCGCUGGUGCAAGGGUGCUGAUGUGUUUACUCGCAGCUCCUGGAGGAAGUCACGUGCAUCCGUCUGUUUACUUUUCUAAAGAGCCUAGCAGGUCACCUCUAAAAAUAACCUUGUUCAGUGUCAGAGCUUCUGGGACUCAAAGGUACAUUCCUCACAUGCUCUCCGCAGAAGCACUCUAAGCCAGCCAUAUCCGGUUCCUCCAGAGGGCUUGGACCGGAGGACUAACCGCAGCCUCCGAACUGUUCAGCCCCAGGGUUCAUUUAGUAACGGAUCCUGGGGGAGAGUCUUUAAAAAGUGCUGUGUACCUUUUCCUGUGGCUACCAUUAGACUCCAGGAGGGUACGGUCUAGACGCUAGCUUCACAAGGGAUGCAUGGAUCCGGGCUGCAAUCCUGUCAACUUUUACCACUGUGGGAUGGUGAGCAGCACUAAAUAUGGUCCCUUCCAGCGAGGCUCCAGAGACGGCGCCCGGUGGCGCUGGACGAAUGUAUACUGCACACCGACCUGAAACUGUGGUGAAGAGGACCUGGAGGAAGUGCUGAGAAUCAUCCCAGGUGGGCUGAUGGGUAAAGAGGAUUGAUUCUAUCAGCUCGCCACGAUGGUGUUGCCCGUAGCCAACAGUCACUGUGUGGAUCGAUGUUCCCAGGUUCUUGGCAUUUUGUUCAAGAAUGAGGUAAAACCCACACAGAUUGUUAAGCAGUGAAGGAGUAUUACUCAAAGCAAAAUGGAGAGGAUCAAAAUACACUUGCAAGGGAACAGUGGACCACAGGAGCAAGGAGCCUCAGGGCCCUGCUCACUGUGUUUGACUUUAGGAGAAGGAGGAGUUUGGUAGUCGGUGUGGAAUUUGGAUGGUUCUCUAGUUUGACUGAGAUGUUUUUCUACUGCACAUUUCCCCUUACAUAAAGCAUCUGAUUUCAAUCUGUUAUAUCUAACUGUGUACAGGCACAGGAUGGUAAAUAGGGGGUUCACUAAAAGUUCGCUUAAGGACAGCUUUGCCUUACAGAGCACACACUUAAAAUCAAGUCGGGCUGGAUGACCCUACUACACUCAGGCCAGAAUGUAUUGAGAACACAUUUGUGUACAGCUUUCCAAACCUGAUAGUCAUCAAUGGGAGGAAAAGAGGGGUGCGCAGGGAGCCCAAAACAGAUGGGAGUCUAACAUUGUCAGGGUUGCACAGAGAAAGGUAUAUGUGGGCAUAAAGGAAGCUGUGCAUUAUUAAAAGAGGAGGAUGUGCAUGAUCCAAACCAGAUAGAGACCCAGGUUACUAAACUAUUCCACAUGUAUGCCUGCCUCUCGAUAGUGCUAGGUCCUGGUCCUGGGUCUGCUUCUUCCCUCGGGGAAGCCAAGCCUGCUGCAUUGGAGGGAGGGACUGUGGUGGGUGCAGGCAGGAUCUAGGUCAGUAAUGAGUGCAAUGGACACACACCUGAGAACAGCUUUGGAGAACUGGGUCAGUGUAAUGGAGGGGGUGGAGAAAGGGGUAUUUGUACCCCUGGGGAGGUGGCCAGGGUUCCUAGGGCAAGGUUUGUAUGGCCAUGUACAAUUGGUCAGGGCAGAGAUGUCAGAAGGUGCUUCAUCUGCGUACUCAGGAGCUGCAGUGGGCUGGGGGGGGGGGCACAAGGACUUAUAAGGUCAAACAAGGAAGAAGCCCGAUAACUGUGAGGGUAAUAACUUCUUGUUAGGGUUGGUGUUGGGGGAGAUGACUCUAUGAUGUCAAAAUGGCAGCUAGGGGGGAGCCAACUCCUGCCAUCCUUCUCUAAGGCAUGGGAUCGAAACUCUCCUGGACCCUUCCCUGUAAUCUAGGCCGUCACGGUCCCACACUACACCUCCAAAGUACCAUAGCGUUGCAAGCCUUAACUCACAGCAGCACGGGUUAUCUGCACAACUCUGGGCCACAGACAUUCUGAUGUGGAUAAAGGAGUUUGUGAGGUCGUCUUUCUGUGAUUCUCCGGGUAUCCAGGGGUAGUAUGGUAAUGUGUUUCAGUCGAGGACUUUCCAAACUGUCCUAUGCAAAAUAAUUGCUCUCAUCUCUGACCCCUGAUCAUUCUUCCAAACAUUCCAAAUUCAUUAUUUUGAAAUUAUGUCUACAUGAAAUUGUAAGAAGCAAUGGAGAGUCCCCGUGCACCAUGUGCAUGACUAUAGCAAUUGCUACAACUAAGACACUGACAUCCGUCAGCCAAGGCUCAGAACAUUUCCAGCACUGCAUCUCCACAGGCCUCUGCGACUGGGGUCAAUCGGCUUCCCAUAACUGUAACAAAUACUUGAGAGUCAGCUCGUAGGAAGUUAUGUUCCUUCCAUCUCCUUCCCUAGCCUGCUCCAUUGUAAGAAAUACAGUCACACAAUUAACCUUUUAGUUUCCUUUGCCUCUCACAGUUUCACAUGUGUGUGUAUACUUUGAGCAUAUCCCAUUAUCUUCUUUAACCCCUUCCAGAUAAACCCCUUCUUCCCAACAGCGCCCCUCUUCCCUUCUUACCAUGUGUGUCUGUGUGCAAGUGAGUCCCCUGCUGCGUUUAAGUAGCUUUUCCUGUAUAAGCACAAGCAUGGGGUUUAUCUCCCCUCCUCUAGCUCCAUUAGUUAACUAUAGCUCCUUGGAGGAGGUGCUGGGGGGUGGGGCUCAUGAAUGUCAGCAACAAUUGAUGGGUCUAGGCUACUUGUGCAGGUUAUAGCACCAUAGCAUUUCCUUCCACCAGCCAUAGCAUAUCCACCUGCUUACAAGUAAGUUCCCAGUGAAUAAGGAUUGUUUCGUUCGUUAUAACUGCAUGUGACCAGCCCUAGCUUACUAUUCAGGACGGGCUGGCCUCUACUGCAGAAAUCCUCUGCCUCCCAAGAGCUGGCAUUAAAGGUAUGCGUCACUGUGACCGAUGAAGAUUAGUCUUUAAUGUGACCUGUAAGGCUAUAAGUGAGGCAUGCUUACCUUUCCAAUCUCAUCUUUCCCCCUACUCGAUUCCUGUACUCAUUCAGAAUCACCGACUGUCUUGCUGAAUAUGGCAAUUGCCUAUGCUGGAGGCUGAUGCAGGAGGAGCACCAUGUAUUUGAAGCCAACGUGGACUGCACAGCAUGUUUCAGCCUAGCUAGGAUACAGACUGAGACCCUUCAAACAGACAAACAGGCAGACAAAAGAUUUUCUUUUUCCACACUUGUGGCUGAGGCACACUCUUCAACCUCAGUGGGCAGCUGUCACUUGUUAUGCAGGUUAAAGCGGGCUGCUGAGCUCCAUUCAGUGUUUUGUUUAGUAGGUCUGGGGAUCUCUAUCUUUAACACCCGUGGUGGUUGAAUAGGAACGGCCCCCAUAGGCUCAUACAUUUGGAUGCUUAGUCAUCAAGGAGUGGCACAACUUGAGAAGGUUUAAGGGGUGUGGCCUUGUUGGAGUAGGUGUGGCUUUGUUGGAAGUGGCACUGGAGGUGGGCUUUGAGGUUCCAAACAUCCAAGCCUGAUCCAGUGUCUCUUUUUCUUCUUGCUGCCUACAGAUCCAGAUGCAGAACUCUUAGGUCUGUCUUCAGCACCAUGUCUGCCUGUGUGGUGCCAGGCUUCCUGCCAUAGUAGCAAUGGACUGAACCUCUGAAAGGAUAAGCAAGCCCUACUUAAAUGUUUUCCUUAAAAGAGUUAAAAGACACCAUGGUUGUGGUGUCUCUUCAUAGUAAUGCUACACUGACUAACACACUAUUGUACAGUAUUUUUAAGUUCCCUCUGAAUUACUAACCUCUAAUUUAUUUAGCAUUCCUCCCCUUAUCCCAGAGCAUGGUGUCCCAUGGUUCACUAUGCUUACCUAUCAUAUCACCUAAAACAAGGUAUUGCAAUGCCCUUUUGAUUAUUAGAGAGGGGGGAGGGGAAGAGAGACAGAGAGGGAAGAGGGUGUACAAGAGAGCAUGUCUGUGUGGUACUGUGUGUGGAUGCAUGUAAGAGGACGACUCCGUAAAGCAGUUCUCUCCCCUGACCUUCAGUGGAUCCGGGGCACGGAAUUCAGAUCACUAGGCUUGUGCGGCAGCUCUACUGUCUGAGCUACCUCACAGGCUCUGUAAAGUCUUCUUAGUGUUUCUCACCUACCAUGGAGCAUGUAGCCCGACAAAAUGGGCACUUGGGUUACCUUACUGAAUAAAUUCACUAAUUUUCACACUUUUAAAGAUUCAGUGAAACUUUGGUACGACUAGCCAUGAGGCUGAACAUAAGAAAAUAAAGAGUAGAAACAAGAAGGAUGGGUUGCUUCACUGAGAGGUUCAAGAAAAAAAAUAGUCCAGGGGCAAGAGAGAUGGCUCCAUGGUUGAGACUGCACACUGUUCUCACAGAGGACCCAGGUCCAGCUUCUGGUACCCACAUUAGACAGCGCACAGUCUAUGACUUCAGCUUCAGAGGACCUGAAACUGUCUUCAGCUCUCUGUAGGCACCUGUACUCACACGGUGCCUAUAAACUCACACAGCCAUAUACAAAGGCAGACACACACACACAGGUAAUAACUUUUUCAGAAAAAUAUAUAGCAAAAACCUAAAAGUCUGCUGGGAAUUUUUAUGAUCUAAAACUGCAAUUCUUUUAAACCACCCCCCAACAAUGAGUAACAAUGGACCACUCGGUCAGGGGCGCAGCUGGUCAGAACUGUACCCAUUACUUUUGAUAACUACUUCACAGUCUGUAUUUUCUUCCUCUGAAACUGUGUUCUUUGCCUUUAGACUAAACAGUUCAAACCACAGGGUUGUCUGACACAAGCAGGACUUCAAAGAAACUCUUAGCUGACUCCAGAGCUGGCCAGGCAAACUGAGUGCCUGCUGAAAUUUUAAUGUCCAGCUUGAAUAGACCUACCAGCCAUUAUCUACAUUCUGAAAAAACCUCCUCACCUCUAGAAAUCUAAAAGUUUUCCUAAGUUCAAGACAAUCUCACUCGGCAGCCAAGCCUGACCUGAACAGGUGUGUGACUGUUUGUAGACCUUACUGAUUCUAGUUAUGGCUUAUGGUAAUUUCCGCUUGACAUUUUCUUUUUAUUAAACAUGAGGGUUCAAUUCCAGUGAGGGUUCAAUUACAGAACGUUGCACGUUCAUUAUAAGAUGUCUAAAACCCCAGCAAUUGUGUUCUUAAAUACAUCUGGUAAGAUGGGCUUUGGGAAAGAAUCGUGUGCUCGCAUUAAUAAUGAAGUAUCAAUUCCCUUUCUAUUUUGUCUCUUCCAUUGCAGAUAGAAUUGUACCCUCUCCUGCUUCUCGUUUUAUAACUGAAAAGUAGUCCUCUUGAAAAUGGUUUUCUUCAUUUUGCAGUUUGUCUUAAGGUUUUUUUAUUGUUGUUGUUGUUACUGCUGCCUGUUUGUGUUUUAGUUUUGAGACAGAGCCUGUCUUUGUAGUCUGGGCUGGCCUUGAACUCUAAGCUCUUAUGCCUCUGGGAUGCUGGGGCUACAGGCAUGAGUCACUAUGCCUGGCUCUGUUUAAUGUAUUGGAAUCUAAAUGCUCUUACUCAUAUGUGAGAACUCCUUUUUAGAUCGGGUUAUAGGACAUGAGGUACUUCUUUGGGAUCCUGUGGCUCACUGAAAUCAGAUGAAUCAUUGUCACCCUCCUAUGAAUCACCACCAGAACUGAGUUAUAGAACUGAAAGAUCUAAUGGGAAACAUUGUUCUGGAAUGCAUUUCAAAGACUGAUGUCACAUUUACAUGCCAUUGACGUCUGCUGUCUCAGCUGAAGAAAGAAUUUUUAUAGAUUAAGGCAUAAAGGGGACUAUGAUAAACAGUUACGAUUGUAAGGGGGAAAAACCCCAAAUGAAUUAAAUCAGAAAUUUAUAGUAUACAUGGGAAGAAAUAGCUACUUGAAAAGUUUGGUGUUAAGCCAGAGGUCAUUUGGGUGGGCUUAAAUUGACAGUUCAUUUGGAGAAGUGGUUUAAGUCUGUGCAGCUCCUCCAGAGAUUUCCGCACUCCAACUGUAUGUGGCUCAAAGGUCUGUUUGGCUGUGUCAUACCUUUCUAGGUUGAGACUAACUUAAGCUACUUAUAAAUUCUGGGAGAGAAAACCAGACUGAAUUAGUUUGAGUCAGUUUUCUAUUACCUCUGUUUCAGCCACCCUAGAUAAGGGUGGGGAGGGUCAGGUCAAGUUAACCACAGCAGUGUGGCUCUGUGAAUUAAAUAAAUUAACAUAAGAGGGGCCACAGCUCAGUUUGUGUGCUGCCUUACACGGCUAAUACAAGCAGGCCAGAGGCAGGUGAGUCAGAAGUUGCAGGUAACAACGGCCUGGGCACUUGGGCUACAUGAAGCAGUGUCUCAUAUAAAUAACUGAAUACAAAUGAAGCCCUCAGUAUGACCUAUGUAUGCAUCACCUUUAUAAGAAUCCCACUUCUUGUUUGGGAGUAUAGCUCAGUGGUACAGCACUCGGUAGCAUAUGCAAGGCUCUGGGUUCAAUCGUCAGUGUUGCAAAGAUAAAAUUAAUUUAUAUAACACCCACUUUAGAAUCUUAAUACAAUUCUAUGACGCUUAAUGCUGUCAACUUGACAGAAUCUGAAAUACCUAGGAGACAGGCAUUUCUGUUAGGAAGUGUCUAUACUGAGUUACAGAGCCCAUCUGUGAUGGUUUGCAUAUGCUUGGCCCAAGGAGUGGCACUAUUAGGAGGUGUGGCCU
rnacentral:sRNA from 1 species